UACGUAGGGGGCAAGCGUUGUCCGGAAUCAUUGGGCGUAAAGCGCGUGUAGGCGGCUCGAUAAGUCUGCUGUGAAAGUUCAGGGCUCAACCCUGAAAUGCCGGUGGAAACUGUCGAGCUAGAGUCCGGAAGAGGUGAGUGGAAUUCCUGGUGUAGCGGUGAAAUGCGCAGAUAUCAGGAGGAACACCAAUGGCGAAGGCAGCUCACUGGGACGGUACUGACGCUGAGACGCGAAAGCGUGGGGAGCAAACAGG
rnacentral:rRNA from 1 species